rnacentral:miRNA from 1 species
CUGAAACUCACUUUGUAGACCAGGCUGGCCUCAAACCCACAGAGAUCUACCUGCCUCUGCCUCCUGAGUGCUGGGAU